AAGGCCCGUGGAGGCGAGAUGUUCGGUACCUGGUGCGUCCUUAGAGUCGGGUUGUUUGGRAAUGCAGCNCCUAAGCGGGUGGUAAACUCCAUCCAAGGCUAAAUACCAGCACGAGUCCGAUAGCGAAGAAGUACCGCGAGGGAAGGUUGAAAAGAACUUUGAAGAGAGAGUUCAAGAGUACGUGAAACCGCUGAGAGGCAAACUGGUGGAACUGAAAUGGCUCCGAGGAAUUCAGCCGUUGGUGUUUUCACAGCUGGUGGUGUUCGAUUUAACGACGGCUCCAUCGGUUGACGUUGAUAUCAUAGGUGCACUUUCCUCGUUUGUGGGCCCGACCACGAUCGGUGAGCUGAUUCGUCUGUCGUACCUGGAAGGUAGCGCUCUCUUCGGAUUGCGUAUUAUAGACAGGUGCACGGAGCGGUAUGGCGCACUGAAUGAUAAUGCCUGCCCUUUAGGGCUCAUAUGGCGGCUGUUUCGUUGGCGAGCUCCGAUUACACUACUUCGGUAGAGUAGUUGGUCUCUGUUGGCUUUACGGUUGUCCUCUAUGAUUGGCGUUGGUAAAUCUGUGGUUGUGAAGUAGGUAGUCCCACCUGACCCGUCUUGAAACACGGACCAAGGAGUCUAACAUGUGCGCGAGUCAUUGGGUUUGCGAAACCUAAAGGCGCANUGAAGGUAAAGAUCUGCUUUUUGCAGGUUGAGGUGGGAUGCUGGGUUACGUGCCCGGCCGCACUACCGGCCCGUUCCACUUGUAUCUCAAGGGAGCGGAGCAAGAGCGUACACGUUGGGACCCGAAAGAUGGUGAACUAUGCUUGCGCAGGUGAAGCCAGAGGAAACUCNGUNGAGGACCGCAGCGAUUUUGACGUGCAAAUCGAUCGUCAAANNUGAGUAUAGGGGCGAAAGACUAAUCNAANCNUCUAGUAGCUGGNUCCCUUCGAGUUUYCUCC
rnacentral:rRNA from 1 species